GCCAGCUGUUGUGGCGGGCAGCUGUUGUCCCAGCUACUCGGGAGGCUGGGGCAAGAGAAUCGCUUGAGCCCAAGAGUUUGAGGUUGCUGUGAGCUAAGAUACCACAUCAAUUUACCCAGGGUGACAAAGUGAGACUCUGUCUAAAAAAAAAGGGUAGUGUUAAGAGUAAAUAAUAACUUAUUGUUAUUAUUUUUGAGACAGAGUCCCACUAUAUAGCCCUGGGUAGAGUGCUGUAGUGUCAUAGCUCACAGCAACCUCAAACUCUUGGGCUUAAGUGAUUCUGUUGCCUCAG
rnacentral:SRP_RNA from 1 species